rnacentral:lncRNA from 1 species
CUGAAGAGGCGAGGAAUGCUUGGUCCCCCGCGCUUGCAGUUUUUGAGAGAAAGAAUCUCUGAACCAGAGUAUGGGAGUUGCUGUCCUUCUCCAUUUAAACUCCAGCCGUGUUCUCGGUAUCAUUUAAAGGAGAAAACUUAGAGGCAAAGACAAAAGGUCCACAGGUGGUAAUGACAAAGGUCCCUCUGAAACAGGGCAGAAGUCUCAUGGAUUGGAUUCAACCUCCCCAAAGUGGAAAGGAUCUAUGAGGACUAAACAGCAGGUUCAUUGAAGUAACUGAAGAAGAACUUAAAAAAUACACCAAAAAAGAUGACUGUUGGAUAUAUCUAACAGGUAGGCAGUGUUUAUUCUGUACUGCAGAAGGUUUUGGCUUUGGGCUUUCCAGUUAUAAUGCUUUAUAACCCCAUGGUCCUGUUAUUUGGUGGUAUAAUUCACAAUUAAAUAACAAAAGUGUACCCUACACCGGGCAGUACCUUCUGUAAUUCUGAAAUUUGGACCAUGCUUUCUUCCCUAAGUUGCUUUUUACACGGCACCCCUGUACUGUAGUCCCUUUGAAAGAAAACAAGUGUUGGCCAGGCAAUUUCAUAUGAAAGUAACAUAAUUAUGCAGUAACACCUAGUUUAUGUGGGCUAAUGUUCUACCUUUGUACUGCGUUACAGAAUCCUGCAGGAUAAAAUGUCUCUGAGAACCUACAGUAAAUCAGAAAGACUACAUUAAAGUCGCAUCUUUAGUUCUCACUUGAGCAGUUUUUAUUACUUGACCUGUGUUUGUUACCAAUAUUAGUUACUGGAUUUUUCUAGCCCACAGCAAAUUAGAAGCCCCAGAUUAGAGGUGGAAAGACUGGAGAGGGUGAGCAGGGAAAUAGGUCUAUAUUCGAUGAAAGGAGACCUCAUGGUGUCCUACAACCUGGCAUCUGAGAGGGAACAAAAGCAAUAAAAGGGAGUUCCCAUUGUGGCUCA